UACGUAGGGGGCAAGCGUUGUCCGGAAUCAUUGGGCGUAAAGAGCGUGUAGGCGGUUCGGUAAGUCGGCUGUGAAAGUCCAGGGCUCAACCCUGGGAUGCCGGUCGAUACUGCCGGACUAGAGUUCGGAAGAGGCGAGUGGAAUUCCCGGUGUAGCGGUGAAAUGCGCAGAUAUCGGGAGGAACACCUAUGGCGAAGGCAGCUCGCUGGGACGUAACUGACGCUGAGACGCGAAAGCGUGGGGAGCAAACAGG
rnacentral:rRNA from 1 species